rnacentral:tRNA from 1 species
CAAAAUGUAGCUUAUUUAAAGCUCCUUGCUUACACCAAGAAGAUAUCUAUUAAACCCAGAUCAUUUUGA